rfam:TPA: Bos taurus chromosome 10, whole genome shotgun sequence.
UCCCUGGUGGCUCAGAUGGUAAAGAAUCUGCCUGCAAUGCAGGCGACCCAGGUUCGAUCCCUGGGUUGGGAA